GCGGCCGGGGGUUCUGCCGGGGGUGCCGAUGGAUCCCGGGGCCGAGGCGGAGCCGCUGCUGCCCCCGCGGCGCUGGCGGGCGGCCCGCGGGCUGUGGCGCUCGGCCGAGCGCGGUGCUGGAGCUGAUAGUGACCUUUACAUAAACCAAGCUGUAGUAUUUAUUGAAGAUGCAAUACAGUAUCGAUCCAUAAAUCACCGUGUGGACUCCAAAUCCCUGUGGCUUUAUCGAUGGUACUAUUCAAGGACUUGCCAGUGGAUUUUGAGUUUAACCAUCACUAUAAUCCUGGCUUUGGCCUUUGUUGAAGAGCCUUCUUCUCUCACUGUCACAUCGGACGUGCGGUACCGCCUUCCCGCUUGGAAUCCACCCUGUGGCAUGACCGAGAGCCUGGAGCUGCUCUGCUUCCUGGUGUUUGGGCUUGAUGUGUCCGUGAAGAGUUACUUAAUUGGAUGGAAAGAAUUUUGGAAAAACAAAUGGCUAAUGGCUUAUAUACUGACAUUAAUUGUGUCCCUGACUGAUUGGAUUGUCUCGCUGAGUUUUUUCUGCACAGAGAGUUUGAGGAUAAGAAGGAUUCUUCGUCCGUUCUUUCUCCUUCAGAACUCUUCUAUGAUGAAGAAAACCUUAAAAAGUAUCAACAGCACGUUGCCUGAAAUGGCAAGUGUUGUUCUGCUGCUGGCUGUUCAUCUGUCUCUCUUCACCAUGUUUGCCAUGCUGCUGUUUGCCCGAACAAAGGAUAACCAGCAGGAUAAGGAGUGGGUGGUGUAUUUCCGGAAUUUGCCGGAUUCACUGACAUCCCUGCUGGUCCUGCUGACUACUGCAAACAAUCCUGAUGUGAUGAUUCCUGCAUAUUCUAAGAAUCGAGCUUAUUCCAUCUUCUUCAUCCUCUUCACUGUAUUAGGCAACCUGUUUCUGAUGAACUUGCUUACAGCAAUAAUAUACAACCAGUUUCGGGGAUACCUCCUGAAAUCAGUUCAGUCCUCCCUCUUCAGGAGGCGGCUGGGAAUCCGGGCUGCGUUCGAAGUGCUUUCCACCCUGAAAGAGACUCCUGCUAAUGCCCAACAGUCAUAUGUCAGCAGUGGAUCCUUACACCAAGUGCUGCAGAAAGUUGAGAUGGAUUCUCGCUGCAAACAAGCCAUCCUGAGGUCGCUCAAAAUGUGCUCCUGUGACCAACUGUCAGCUGCCCAGUUCCAGAAGCUCUUUGAAGAACUAGACAAAGAUGCCAUUAAGCAACAUCCUCCCAGUCCAGAGUACCAAUCCCAUUUUAUGCAGAAAUUGCAGUUUGCCUUUGGCCAUCCCUACUUUGGCUACUUGGGGAAUGUGGUAGCCCUUGCAAACAUUGUUUCUAUCUGUGUGGUUUUGGUGAUGGAUGCAGAUAAACAGCCUUCUGAAAGAGAUGACUUCUUCCUGGGGGCCAUCAACUGCUUCUUCAUCCUGUACUAUCUGCUGGAAAUGUUGCUGAAAAUCUUAGCAAUGGGCUUGAGAAGAUACUUGUCUUACCCAAGCAAUAGAUUUGAUGGACUUCUGACUGUAAUUUUGCUGAUUUUGGAGAUUGCAACUUUUGCUGUGUAUGGAUUUCCUCAUCCUGGCUGGAGACCCGAGUUCGUGGGCCUGUUAUCCCUGUGGGAUAUGGUGCGGCUGGUGAACAUGCUGAUCGUGUUCCGCUUCCUGCGGAUCAUCCCCAACAUGAAGUUCAUGGCUUUGGUUGUCACUACAUUGCUGGAUCUGGUAAAAAACUUAAGAGCCUUUGCAGGAAUCCUCGUGGUGGUUUUCUAUGCAUUUGCUAUCACUGGCAUAAUGCUGUUUAAAGGUGCCGUUGUUCCCUUGGGAAACACCAGUGCUGCCAACACAACAUUUGCUAAUGGCACUUUGCAGUGUGGCACCUACGAGCAGCUGGAAUAUUGGCCCAACAACUUCGAUGACUUUGCUGCAGCAGUGGUGACCCUCUGGGAUGUGAUGGUGGUGAACAACUGGCAGGUCUUUUUGGAUGCGUUUUCAAGAUAUUCAAGUCCGUGGGCAAAGAUCUAUUUUGUAGCCUGGUGGUUGAUCUCCUCUGUCAUCUGGGUUAAUCUCUUCGUAGCUUUACUUCUGGAGAACUUUAUUCACAAGUGGGACCGUCGCUGUCAUCGAGAGUCUCUUUCAGAUAUUGAAUACCAGAGGACAGUGGAACUAAUGUUCAGGCCCGCGGCCAGGAGUGCCAGCCCGGUUUCCUGCUCCCGUAGAAGGCAUGGAAGAUGGCAGUAGGGUUGCACAUCAUCUACAGCUCUGGGGUUUUUAUCCUCCUCUUCAACGUCACUGAAAUACAGAGAGCUUUGUGCCACAGAGGAAAACUCACAGGAGGCAAAUAUUGCUAAUGGGAAUGUAUUGUUCUUUGAAGAAUCCUAUCUGAGUUCUUUUGUCUUACAGGGAAAUCCAGUGUCUGUGUCCUGGAAAUGGAGAAAUCUACCCCAGUUCUUCAAGUGCUUGCACGUGUGCUGAGCUUGAGCCCGUGAAUCCUCCAUUAAUGCACAGCACACACAGCCCUGUUUGGCACAUCAAGGUAGAACAAGAAGCCAUGCUCUUCUAUCAUAGGACAGUUUCACUCUACAUGUCUAGAUUCUGCAAGAAUUACAUCUGUUUUUUUUUUUAUUUUAUUUUUACAAAAAUGUCUCAGAAAAUCUAGUUCUGUCUUCAAAUCACUGUAUAGACAAGAAGCUAUCAGAACCUCUGUUUCACAGGUGAGGAGAACCAGUCUGAUAAAGAUUAAAAUCCCAAUUCAAGGAAAAGCAGAAACUUAAGCACAUCUUUUAACGCUCCUGUGAUUUUGGCAUAAACUAUUAUGAAUAGUUUCUCUGGGAUGCUGUCAGAGGUGAAAACAGAAUAUGCUUUGACUUGCAGACAGUACCUCAGCCGCAGCACUGCAGUGUGUGGACACAGGAAUUUUUCUCUUUAUACUUGCUAAAAAAUGUGAUGCAUGGGAUGGUCACACAGGAGGGAGAUUUAUUUCUGUAGUUGGUUUUUUAAUUCAGUGGUUCAUAUACUAUGGUACUGGAGCUCAUUUUGGUGUGGAGAUCCAUGCAGCUCUAAACUUCUCCUUCAGCUUUGUAGAUUUUCACAGAAGUGUGUGGUAUCUUUUCCUUGGUCAGGUGCCUUGAAAAUAAACUGGGAGAAAUAAAUAGGCACGUUUCUACUGUGGCUGUGAUAAGCAUAUGUAUGUAUAUAUAUAAUGGUAUUGUGUGUCUUGCUCUACAUAACAUUUUUAGGUGUCUGUGCAAGUAGGAGAUUUAUGAAGUGUGACUCAUUUUUCCUUCUCCCCACUGUUCCAGUGGAAGAGCUCAGACUGCGAUGAGAAAAACUAGUACACGUUAUUAAGAAUUCUGAUAAAGUAGGCUGAAUAAAUUUGUUUUCUUUGUGAGCCUUAAUCCUGUGUUGUAUUGGCUUCUUGGACAUGGCUAAUUUAUUUGGAAUUCCAUUCUGUUCCCGACAGCAUUCCUGAUUAGCAGUUUGAUCACCCGGAGCAAAGUUACAUACCAGCUUUCAACUCUUGUAAUCUAGCAGUGUAAUUUUUUCAAAUGGACUCUUUUCUUUCCUUCUUUGCCCCAGCUCCCCUUCUUUUUGUGUGCAAAGAGACUUUAAAAGUAAGCAGGAUAACCUGCUAGUAGAAUGAAAAACUUCUUCAAAACACAAUGUAGUUUGCUGAAUGCCCGGCUUUCAUUUUUAAAUAGAAAAAUGAGGUUUGGAGCUGUGUCAGUGCAGCAUGUGAAAUGUUUACCUUCCAUCACGCACAAAGGAUAACAGUUCUUUUCAAUAACUGCAUUUUAGGGGUGGUGUGAUAUAAUCUUCAAGUUCUUUCCAAGGUCUGUGGUUCGCCAAAGCACAUUUCACUUGUGAUAAGUUUUAGAAAGUUUAAAUUGUUGUUUAGUAAAGUUUUUCACGUCAUGGACCUUGUAGGAAAAUGGCAGUUGUGUCAUUGUUUGCUUCCGUCUAAACUGGCUUAUGCUGUCAAAACAAAGGAUGCACAGGAACCACAAAUUUAAUUGUAAACCAGAGGCAGGUUUUGAUCUGUUUUUGGUAGGGCACAGGAGGAGCAUCAUCCGAGUGAAACCAGAGGAAAUGGAGCCUGCAGCAGCCCCCCACAUCUACCAAAGAAGUGGAGUUACAGACAAGAGGGAAGGGAGUUUUCCAUCCUGUGACAUUUCUGGAGGUCCCGGUCUGGUUUGUGCACAGUGGGAAGGAAAAAAGGUUUUUAAGUCAAGGGAGACGUGGGAAUAGCCCAGAGAUAGGUGACCACAGCACUUGUCAAAAGACUCAAACUGUGGUUUUACGCAUGAGUGCCUUGGCUGUAUAAUGUUUGGAGAGUGUCUGUUUUGUACUGAUCUUGAAUUUAAUGGAUCUGAAAAGCAACUCUUGACAAAUAUUUUGUCAAAACUGGAGCACGUUUAGCCAGAUUUCUGUGUUUGAAAAACUGACGUUUCGGUUGAAACACUGUUUUGUCGAAAAUAAUACUAAUUAAAUUCUCUCCUGAAUUUACGUGAACUACUCAGCUGUUCUGAACUUUGUAACACAAAUCCUAAAUAUUUGUUCUAGGCUUUUUCCUUUGAGUCACUAAGUAUGUUUGUAUUUUUAUGUUCGUUCACAAUUAGGUGGACAUUUUGGAUGUUAUGAAACUUUUAAUUAAUUGAUAUGACUAAGUAUCAAUGGCAUAUGUGUGAUCUAUUCUGCUACUACCGGGUCAUGUUCUGAUCACAUUCCUAGGAAGAAAUUCCUGUAAUGAAAGGGAACUACUGCUAAGCAUUGCCACAUCCAGCAGCAUAUGGAGGUGAUCAUGGAAUGACAACUCCAUGACUGCAGAGGUCUCAUCAAGUCUGUAUAUUGAAAUACAGAUGUCUUCAGGUAAUGACUUUUAAGACUGAUUUAUAAGUUUUUGCUUCGUUUUCUCCUAACCCUUUCCCCUCACUUUCAUUAUGUUUUUUUUCCCCUGCAAUCUGUGCCCUUUCUUUUGCAAUUAAAUUUCACUUUUGACUGUUGGGCCUUUGAAAUGAGCUGGAGUUUCAGAAAUACUUCUGGUUUUAUGGACACUGAAGUUAGUCUUGAGGGAAGAAAUACAUAAUAAAUGUAGUAACUUAUUUCUGUCCUUUUUUUUCUUGAUCAUGGAAGUGGGCAUAUUCAACUGACUGUGGUGGGAUUCUGCUGGGGAUUUUCCAGUAGAAAACCAGUGGGGCAGGUGUUGACUUUGCUUUGGCUCAAUGCAACAUGGAAUGAUCUUGAUAUGUGCGUGUUAUCACAACUUAUUUGAAGCAGGAGUUGGCUUUGAAUGUCAGGUUUUGUCCUCUAAAGCUGUGAAGACCUUGAUCUGGCUCUUUUGAGCUGGCAUUUUGUUUCCAGUGUGAUGUGGAAUGCUUGUUCAGGAGAUUUCACAUGUGCAAACUGGAGCAAGGUGCCUUUUUGACUCUGAUAACUAUAGAAGGCACAUGAUUCUGAGAGAUAAGUGCUGGUCUUGAAUUUUUCUAUUUCUCUUAACAAAGAACUGAGAACUUCUUGUUAGCCAUGCCGACCACUGCAACUCUUUGCUGUUUUCAUUUGCAACAUAUCCUGAGUUUUGAAUGCAUGGCAAAAUGCAGUAAGUCAAAUAUUCCAUUUUUUAAUUUUAAUUGAUUAAUGUUUCGGGAUAUAUUUCAAACUGAUGGCAACAGGGGGUGUUUUGUGAUUGAUUAUUGUUGUGUUCUCUGCUUUGUCACGUGUAACUUCACUUGAUAUUUUGAAAUUUUAGGAAUGUAGUGAUAUUUUAGGAGACAGACUGCUUUGUAGGGGAACUGGAAAAUUAGAUGUGAAACCUGUUGCCUUACAUUUUAAAGUCAACAAAACUGCAUAAUACAUAAUUAUUUUUGCCAAACUACCCUUCAAUGGGCACUGAUUACUAGGAUAAUUAAUUAUGUAAUAAUUUAAAAGCAAAAUAUGGAAUUUUAAAAAUAGUUCCAAAUUAGAAGAUUUUUUAACAAAUAGUUGCAACAGAACAGGAUAAUAAUGUUGGUUAUGUGAUGAAAACAUGUGUUAGUAAUAAAAUAUCACCCGUCAGGAAUACUGUUCUAUCAUGCCAUUGCUCUCUAGGGAGAUGACUAGUUGAGAAGUGAUUUUAACAAAAUAAACUCUGAACAGAGAGGAUGCUUUUAUUGGUGAUACGACACACAUUCUUCAAAAAGGCAAAUCAUUAAAAAAACGGUGCCAGGAACAUCUGUUGUGUGAAAAAGUAAAAUUUUGGAAAAUCCAAAUAGUGAUUAUCAAUAUACAGGCUUUGCAUAGUGCUUUUCCUUGCUCAUUCCCAAAAGACUUUACGAAGAAAGGAAGAACAACUAUCCGUGUUAAACCGCGUUUUCCCAAACCAGUUUUCAUCUGGCGCGUGGAUUCGUCUUGCUUGUGCUGUGCCAUGGAUUUUCUGUGGGAGGAAAUCUGCCCUAAGAAGUGAAAUCCAAGCAGGAAAGCGCUGUCCUUCCAUGCCCAGCAGCAUUCCUCCGUGUGAACAAACGCGGCCCCGCCGGGCAGUGCCAAGCCGACAGCCGUGGCAUGCGGAGCCGCGGAGCUGCCGUUCCCUGGCUCUGUGUGAGCCCGUCCCCAGCCUGUCCCGGUGCCAGGCGCCAGGGAUGUGCACUUUCUGUUCCGGCUUUGACACCUCUCAGGGAACACAGGGCUGAGAAGCACUUGUGAGCCCCGGGGAGGAGGCACCUGUUCGCUUGGCACCGGGAUGAACCCCCCAGUUCAUUCCUCACGUGCCCGUAAGUAGCCGCCGGGCUUCUCGCUGCAGACGGAUUGGGCUGGAGCUGGUGGCCAGGGCAUGGGAUGUGCCGGAUUACGUGACAGCCCCGCUAGCUCACAUGGGAAUUGGUAAAAUCCUGCUGGUGGUUUCCAGCAAUCCAGCAGGAUUGCACCAGGGGGAAGGAAGAUGGUUGUCACCGAAGAUGAACUUUCAGGUGCAUCCAGUGACAUCCAUCCAGGUGGACAGAUAUUGCUUUUCUGGAAAAAGGCAGAUGUCAUUGCCUCAACCAAUACAUUUGCUAUUUUAUGUUAUUAGCUAAUUAUUAUAUUAUUAUUAUAAUUAUUAUGUUACUGGCUAAUGUUAUUAGCUGUUAUUUUACAGCUACAGAGUGAGCCAGCUGCCCAAGUGAGUAUGUAAUGUAGAGCCCCUGGCUGGAGCUGACAGUGGUGGUGUUGUAGCAGGUAGAGCCACUGAACAGUUUGUCAAACUGUUUUUCCUGCUGAAAUCCCCUUCAGAUGAGAUGAUGAUUUCCUUUCUUCUCAUCUGUGUGGAUGUCAAUCUCUUAAAAAAAAAAACAGGUUAGAGAAACAGCUGUCAGGAAUGGCGUAGUUGAUCUUGCUUUAGGGCAAGCUGAUAGACCUUUUGGGUCCCAUUCAUCCUUUUUCCUAUGACUGUAGGUGGCCCCAGUAACAUAUAUAUGUGUAGGUAUAUUUGUUCUCUCCAGCCUGCUGCAUUUUUUCCAGCAAUAGUUGAAAGGAGCAGUCCCUUUAAACUCAGCAUCUUUUGAGAUCUGUAGGUAUAAAAAAGACACUCAUUGUUCAGUGUACCUCCACAAAGAUUCCUUCUUAAUCCUGACUGUGUGUACUCAUCCCUUGGUUGAGCUUUCCUGUGCAGAGGAAUUUGAGUUGAUUCACAUUCCUUCAUAAAUGCAUGUAGGGUAAUACAUCAGACUUUCUUUCCCUCUAAGCAUUCUGAUCAGUUCUGACACUUUCCAACUCCAUUAAAAAAUCCGUGUGGUAGGUGAGAGAAUCCAUGAGUGUGAAGAAACUCCUGAAACCCCUCAGAGUAUUUGCUUUGCUGUGCCAUUUAACUGUUUACAAAGCCCAGGGCUUUGCUUCUGAUACACAGUCAAUAAAAGGGAACAGGCUAUUUUUAUUUUUAAUUGCAAUGUAAAUGUAUGUGCUGGCCUUGUAGAAGGCAAUGUGUUGACUCUCGUGAGGUUACCCCCAAUCAAGGACAAAUUUGACCAGAAAAUGGUACUUUGAGAGAAUAUUGGCAGUCAAUAUUUUGGCAUGACAUUUGGUUUAAUGCAGAAUUUUUGAAAAUCAGGGAAGCAGCCAGGCUAUUGCUUGGGCCACAUCCAAGUCAUUUCACUCACUGCUGAUCCUUCCCAUUUCUGCCUUCACAGCUCUACUUGUCCAGGCCCAGGCAAGGAAUUGCUUAAACAUCUAUAAAAGUUCCUUGUUUUCUUCUUGAACUGGAUCCUGGAGUUGUACUAAUUCUGACGAGGCCUUGGCAUCUACGAAGACCUCAAGAUGGAAAGUGCAGUUUCUGGGGAAAGGAGCUUGCUGGUGGAGUAAGUUUGAAAAGAUCGUAGCAGUUCCAGUAAUUACUCAUUUCAUCAACCCAUCUAUAUUUAAAGGGGAAAAAAAAAACAAACCACGCUCCUCCAGUGUUGUUUCCUGCAAAGACCAUUCUUAAGAGCUCGUUGGACAGCGCAGGACUCUUGAAGUGAUAGCUAAUUGGUGAAAGAAAGGCCCUGAUUGUCUUGAGGGAGCUGGAAAGUGCUGCGUGUGCUGCUGAAAGGGACUAGGGAGAAGGUGCCUGGUUUCGCUGAGCAGCUGCUGCUGGAGAUGUUUGGAGAUUACAUCAGCAUUGGAAAAAAGGGGCAAAAAAAAAAAAAGUCCAACUUCACAGAGACGGAGUUUAUGGAGAUUUUUUUUUUUCCCCCCUUCCAAAGGUCUUCUGACAAUACUGUCAUUGUCAAUAUAAGAGUUGUUAAUUCUUUAUGAAUAGCACAUGGGGCCUCUUGACUAAAUAGUACGUUACAUGUCCCAAAUCUGUCAGCUGGACUCUUCUCUCACAUGCUAGUGAGAUCACUUUGAUUGGAAUGUUAGAGGAAUUGCUGGGCUGGCCGUGCAGAACUGAAUACUGCAUUAUAUAAUUAGAUCUCCCAGAGUAUUUUUUUUCACAUUACCUCAUUAUUCUAGCUUAAAUAUGGAAUCGGCCCCUUUGAUGAUUUUGCUGGUUGUAAUUAUAUUAAUACGAUUCAUUUUGUGGUCCUGCCUUAGUGCUUAUAUAGAUUAUAAACUGUCCCGAAGGUUUCCUGACACAAGGAAAGAGGACUGAGAGACUUCAAAAGGCUUCUUCAGGUUUGAAUUGACAAUGGGGAGAACUGGAUAAGGUAAAUGGAGCUAGAGCAGCUCUUACCUUGGGAUCUGAUGAGAGAGAAAUGACGUGUCGAGACUGCAACCGAGUGAAGACUCUUCAGAAAGCCACGUGCUGACAGAGGGGAAGGAGUGACAACUGACUGAGUCAAAUGACUUCCUCUCCAACUUGGGCAUGGAUUUAUUGUUGGGAACAGACUUGUGGACUUUUGCCAGUUAAAUGAUCUGGACGAGCUGGAGGGAAUCCUGUUGCUGGGCAGUCCAAGAGUGCCAGUGGCCCAGCCUUGGUACACGAGAUGUGGUGUGUGGUGCCUGCUGGACAAACUGCUGGUCUGCACAGUCAGGUGUCAGCUGACAUGGAGUGAGUUCUGACACCAAAGCCCUACAAGGUACCUUCAUUUCCAGCCUUAAAUAAGGACCUAACUGGAACACAGAAGGAUUUGACUACGUGCCCAAGGCCAUAGUGACUUAGGAUUUUUUGGUUAACUUACCUUGCAAAAGGAGAUAAACUGUUCCAAGCGAACUGUCUCCUUUCAGAUGGGUGUUAUACUAACCCAAACAUCCUAUAUCUUACUACAUACCCAACUCAAUUUGACAUCUGCUUUUAAGAACUGAAUUUUCUACCAUAAAAACAGAAAGACUGUAUUGCUUUGCCUGAGGCCCAGUCACCUUUCUUUUAAAAAAAAAAAAAAAAAAAGUUCUUUUUUGUUUGAUAAAUGUCUAUGUCAUGUAAAAGUGAAGGUUGCCACUUUUAUGUGUACUUACUUUUGUAUCUCUUGGUAGCUAACAUGAUGAUGUCAGAGUUCAGCUACAGUAUUCCCAUCCAAAUUUUCUGGCCCAUUCAUGACUCUUACCUUCCUACAGGCUCGUCAUUAAUAACUGUUAAUCAGCCCUUACCAUUUUGUGUUUUGAAGCCUCCUAAAACUCAGACAUGAGAGCUGGUCUGUGCUUAUGCAGAGGAACAGGAUAAAUGUCAGGUCAAUUGAUUUCAGCCUCAGAUUUUAUUUAUGGUGGAUGACCAAUGUACUAAACAGCCUGCAAUGCCUGAAAUGCAUGUCAUUGACUUGAAAUCCAGCCAGAUGACAAUAAAUUAGAUGUAACUAA